rnacentral:rRNA from 1 species
UACAGAGGGUGCAAGCGUUAAUCGGAAUUACUGGGCGUAAAGCGCGCGUAGGUGGUUUGUUAAGUUGGAUGUGAAAGCCCCGGGCUCAACCUGGGAACUGCAUUCAAAACUGACAAGCUAGAGUAUGGUAGAGGGUGGUGGAAUUUCCUGUGUAGCGGUGAAAUGCGUAGAUAUCGGGAGGAACACCAGUGGCGAAGGCGACUACCUGGCCUGUUCUUGACGCUGAGGCGCGAAAGCUAGGGGAGCAAACGGG